UCCCUCGUCCCCCGCGAACCCUAGCGCUCCCCUCCCCUCCCACCUCCCCUCCCCUAGCCGCCACCCACUCCUCCCCUCGCUCUCCUCCCUCCCCUCCAGCAAGAUCCAGUGCGCUCCAAGAUCCCCAUGCUCUGCCCCUCCCUCCCUCCCCUUCGGUGCGUGGCCUCCCUCUCCUCGAUCCAGAUCGACAGGUCCACCACCUACACUUUCGGCGACCCCAAUCCAGCGACAGAGACGGCUGCUCCCGCGCCGACCUUCUUCCUCGCCCCAGAUGCCGCUGCUCAUCUCCUCUCCGGUCAGUGCGGAGGAGCCACCGCUGUCGAGGUGGCCCAUCUCUUCCUCCCAUGGCCAUGGCCAUGACGAGCCUGCAAGAUGUGCUGCAGCAGAUCUUCGAGUACAAUGGCUCCCCCGUGGUGGAGAUGGUGGGGAAGAACUGCUUCGCCAUCGCCAGUGACUACCACCUCGGUGUGCAGCUGCAGACCAUCGCCACCGACUUCCAACGGGCCUUCAAGAUCCACGGCAAGCUCUACAUCAGCCUCUCCGGCCUCACCACCGACGCCCAGACAUUGUGAGCCGCCCCGCCCGCCCCCUUUUGCCUCUGGUUGAUGUUGGUUUCCCUUGACUGACAUGUGAUGUGGUUCCCUGCCAUGGAUGAGCUACAGCCGGAUUAGCUAGGGUCAAUUUCUGUUGCUGAUAAUGCAUAUUGAUCCACAUGUUCUUAUUUCUGUACACAUGGGCAGCUUACACCUAACUGACUGACUGAUUGUUGAUGUGUUCGAGCUGAUUUGCGUUGUUGGUGGUCAUCUAGCUACUGAUUUGCUGCUGCAAGUUAGAAUGCCUACUGUUCUGUGUUGUAGAAGACUACUAAAUUAUCUAGUUUGCAUCCCUUUGAUGUCAUGUAUGCUACUGAUUUGUUGCAGGUAAUUAGAAUGUUGUAGGUUCAGUACCAACGUGGCAUAAUCCAUUGGAAUAAAUUAGAUGGGAAUAUAUGGUAGGUUUAGUAUAAACGUGGCUUAAUCCAUUGGAAUUUUUGUUUUUAAUGGGACAAUCAGAAUGUUGUAGGUUUAGUACAUGAUGCCAUGGAAGGUUGUUCAUGUUCUGUCCUCCCUCUUCUGAUCUGCCGGAUACUAGAGUUCAUGUCUGUACAUAGCUCACUGCUCACUGCGGCUCUGAAGCACAAAUAGUCAAUUACACGAUGCACAUAAUCAUGCCAGAGUGGCAGGCAACUACAAAUACAUCUUCUUUUGUCAACUGCAACAUAUACCCAGCUAUAAAGAAACCACUUGAAGAAAAUAUUUAAGAGAGCCAGGCAGUUCGUGUAGAUUUUCUUGCAUUUGUGCAUAGCUAUUGAUCAUGAAUGUUGCAAUGCAAGUUAUUAAAAGAAUGAUGAUACCUCUUAAUGCCUUGUCUUUUCAGAAACUAGCUAUCUAGUCAAGCAUUUCUUUUUAAGUUUGAUACUAUUGGUAUUGUUGGAGAUAUAUAGUGGAAAACAACAUCCAUAGUGGUAUAGAUUGUUCCAGUCCAUGAUAUGCUUAUUAUUGAAUUAGCUCGUCCUAAAGAAUGUUCCGCCUAAGCUUUGCUUAGUGGCUGGUUCCAUAUCCUGAAAAUUGCAAUGCAGGUGAAAAGAUUAAAUACCUCGUCAUGCUUGCAAUGGUUUACGCUGAAUUGUUUUUUUGUAAUCUAUCUUGCUAUACUAGUUCCAAGUUCUUGACUAGCACCUCUAAGAUAACUCACUUGUGGUUAAUUAGUGGCUCUAUCGUUUGUGUUUGUGCAUUCUCUUUUCCUGGGCAUCAUUCAUGGUUGUCUAGUAGUCAACAUACUUCUGGUUCCAUUUAGUAUAUGCUGGAAGCAGCAGCUUAAGUUUAAUGGAGUUGUUGUUACUCAGUGCCUACUUCGUUAGAGUGUGCAUCAUCUCCUUGUUGUUUAUAUCAUAAAUACCUUCACUAUUCUUGUUCUGAACCUCUGAUCCUGAUACUGAUUGUAUUUGUCUUGAUCGAAUUACAGGCAACAUGGUGACUCUAGUGCAGGUAGCGCUUGCCAUCCUCUUUGAGGCCGUGUGUUUAGGUGAUUCCUCGGCGCAUGCUCUUUUUCUGUCUGUACGGAAUCUUGAUAUGGUGUUUUGGCAGCUGAGAUAUUAGAUUGCACUUUGGUAUGUGAUUUACUCAUGUUGGUACUGCUUGUUAAGUGAUUAUCUUUAUGCCCUUGCUACCUGUAGGAUGGUCAAUACAUGAUUUCCCUGUAACUUGUCUUUUCUGAAACAGUUUGCUUGGUCCUUCAUAUCUGACUAUGUAAUGUAGAAGCUCUACUUUAUCCUAAUAGCUGCUUGUAGCAUUGUGAUACUAUUUGUGUGAUGCUAAAUCUGUUGCUAUAUUCUCAAGUGUUGUUUACCAUUUACAUUCUUUUUACAUUUGCUAUAUUCACAAAUAGUAGUAGUGUCUGGUCUAGAUAAGCAAACAAGUAGUAGUGUCUGGUCUAGAUAAGUAAACAAGGGAUGAUCUAUGCAGUUGUUGAUAUGAAUUGUUUGUUUCUGGGAGGUGUAGGGCGAGCUGCAGCGGGACAACCUGGAGUGGAAGAACUUCGAGGACAAGAUCAUUGAGAACCUGGAGAAGAUCAGCGACUACCUCAUCCUCGUCUGCAUGGUUGGCUCCUUUGGCAGACCCCUCUUUGGCUUCGACCAACUUACUUUUGUCGCUGGCUAGCAGCAUUUCCAGGUGUUGUGUGUUCUGGAAGAUGGAAGAGGAAGAAAACUUAUUUUUGUUGAACUAAAUUUUCUGUAUUCUGUUUUGUUGUACGUAUCAUUUGAUAGUUUUGUAUAGGAACAAGUGAUACUAUCUUGUAGGGCUUUAUGGCUUGUAAUGUAAACAUAUUUAGUGCUGAAAUAUGAAAUUAUUUGCAAAAUUUGUCGGAAA